UACGGAGGGUGCAAGCGUUAUCCGGAUUCACUGGGUUUAAAGGGUGCGUAGGUGGGUUGGUAAGUCAGUGGUGAAAUCUCCAGGCUUAACUUGGAAACUGCCAUUGAUACUAUCAAUCUUGAAUACCGUGGAGGUCAGCGGAAUAUGUCAUGUAGCGGUGAAAUGCUUAGAUAUGACAUAGAACACCAAUUGCGAAGGCAGCUGGCUACACGAAUAUUGACACUGAU
rnacentral:rRNA from 1 species